rnacentral:rRNA from 1 species
UAAUGUAAUCCCUACAAUGUUAAAGCACUGGAUCCCAUUAGAAAUCCACAAUUAAGCACACUUGGGAUAGAUUAAUACUUGGAUGGGUGACCUCUCGGGAAGUCCUAGUGUUUUACAUGCC